GAAAAGAGAAAAAAUCUUCAAGAUACUUUCUCUCUGUCAUUGCAACCUUGACCAUAUUGGAAUUGCAAAGAUAAAGCCAUAGUGAAUUUCAGAGUAUUACUUUGUAUAAUUUUUAUUAAGGAAAAGUAAGGAUUUAAUUCUGUUAAAGCUUUAGGGGCAAAAAACCCACUUAGAUAAUUCCCCUGGUCCCCAAAGAUUAAUAGCCUAUUGUUAAGCAAAGCAGCUAGUUUGGAAGAAAUUCCAGAGUGAACAAACAAACAAAACAGGUAUCCAGAGUGAAGGAAAAAUGUAUAAAUUAUUUGUAGUUUAAAUUUACCUGGUACUUAACUCUUCCUUGACCAUGAAAAGAGAAAUUCUUGGAUAAAUCAGAUACCCUCUGUAAUUCUCUCAGUUCAGAGAUUCUCCCUCUGACUUUAUAAACUCUUCUCAUCUUAGAUUCCUAAAUAAAAGUGUGGAAUGAAGGUGCUGAAAAAAUGAAGGGAAACUUGAGUUAUCCUCCAGUUUCAGAAAUUUAUUAGCUUUCUGAUUUCCUAGAUUUACUUACAAGAGAAGUGGAUAUUAUACUAGUGAAAGACAAGCAAAGAAGCUGGACUAGAACAAGUGUGUCCAAAGGAGAACAGUAGUAAAGGUA
rnacentral:lncRNA from 1 species